CCAACGGGUGAAGCCGGGCACUCUGGCGGGACUGCCAUCGACAAGAUGGAGGAAGGUGGGGAUGACGUCAAGUCAUCAUGGCCCUUAUGUCCAGGGCGACACACGUGCUACAAUGGCCGGCACAGCGGGAAGCGAGGCAGUGAUGCCGAGCGGAUCCCUUAAAGCCGGUCUCAGUUCGGAUUGAAGUCUGCAACUCGACUUCAUGAAGCUGGAAUCGCUAGUAAUCGCAGAUCAGCCAAGCUGCGGUGAAUACGUUCCCGGGCCUU
rnacentral:rRNA from 2 species